rnacentral:rRNA from 1 species
GACGAACGCUGGCGGCGUGCUUAACACAUGCAAGUCGAACGGAAAGGCCCUGCUCUUGUGGGGUGCUCGAGUGGCGAACGGGUGAGUAACACGUGAGUAACCUGCCCUUGACUUUGGGAUAACUCCAGGAAACUGGGGCUAAUACCGGAUAGGAGCUCCUGCUGCAUGGUGGGGGUUGGAAAGUUUCGGCGGUUGGGGAUGGACUCGCGGCUUAUCAGCUUGUUGGUGGGGUAGUGGCUUACCAAGGCUUUGACGGGUAGCCGGCCUGAGAGGGUGACCGGCCACAUUGGUACUGCGGUACGCCGCAGUCGCCUACGGGAGGCAGCAGUGGAAAGCAUUGCGGAACGGGGGGAAGCCUGAUGCAGCGACGCCGCGUUCGUGAUGCUCUGUUUCGGGGUGUAAACCGCUUUCGCCGGUGCCGAGGCCUGCGUGACGGUAAUGGAUCAGGAAGCCCCGGCUAACUACGUG